rfam:Trichobilharzia regenti genome assembly, scaffold: TRE_scaffold0021276
GUACUUCUUAAGAGUCCCAAACUAGGACGAAACAGUUGUCCAGUAC